GCCAACCAGCUAGCUUAACUAUCUAUAUAAUUCAACAAUAUUUAUAACAAAGCAUGGACUAGCACCAUAAACUAAACCAUUUUUUUACCUUAGUACGGGAGACGGAAAAGGUCUAACCUAAAGCAAUAGAGAAAGUACCGCAAGGGAAAGCUGAAAGAGAAGUGAAAUAACCCAUAUAAGCAAUGAAAAACAAAGACUAAACCUUGUACCUUUUGCAUCAUGAUUUAGCCAGUACCCUCAAGCAAAGAGACCUUUAGUUUGAAACCCCGAAACCAGGUGAGCUACCCCGAGACAGCCUAUGUUAAUUUAGGGCUAACCCGUCUCUGUGGCAAAAGAGUGGGAAGAGCUCCGGGUAGAAGUGACAGACCUACCGAACCUGGUGAUAGCUGGUUGCCUGAGAAGUGGAUAGAAGUUCAGCCUCGUGCACCCCGAACCAGAGAAUACAUCAAUAAGAUACUCAGGGAAAAGCACGAGAGUUAGUUGAAGGGGGUACAGCCCCUUCAACAAAGGAUACAACCUUCACAGGAGGAUAAAGAUCAUAAUAUAUAAAACACACUGUUCUAGUGGGCCUAAAGGCAGCCAUCUAAAUAGAAAGCGUUAAAGCUCAGACAGAAAGAAGUUUAUUAUUCCGAUAAAAAAUCUUACUCCCCUAAUUGUAUCAGGCCAACCCAUGCCGACAUGGAAGAGAUUAUGCUAAAAUGAGUAACAAGAAGAUCUGCUCUUCUCCCAGCACAAGUGUAAACCAGGCCGGACUAACCACUGGAGCUUAACGAACCCAACCGAAGAGGGUAGUGUGGAUAAUACAGACCUCAGGAAGAACUCACAACUAAAUAAUCGUUAAUCCCACACUGGCGUGCUAUUUUUAAGGGAAAGACUAAAAGAGGGGGAAGGAACUCGGCAAACACAAGCCUCGCCUGUUUACCAAAAACAUCGCCUCCUGCAACUAUGCUGAGUAUAGGAGGUCCAGCCUGCCCAGUGACUACGAGUUUAACGGCCGCGGUAUUUUGACCGUGCAAAGGUAGCGCAAUCACUUGUCUCUUAAAUAGAGACCUGUAUGAAUGGCUAGACGAGGGCUUAGCUGUCUCCCCCCUCCGGUCAGUGAAAUUGAUCUAUCCGUGCAGAAGCGGGUAUAAUCAUACAAGACGAGAAGACCCUUUGGAGCUUAAGGUACAAAGUUCAACCAUGUUAAACGACUCCAUGAAAAGCAAGAACUUAGUGGCACAUGAAGUUUUACCUUCGGUUGGGGCGACCGCGGAGGAAAAAGAAGCCUCCGAGUGGACUGGGCUACACCCCCAAAGCCAAGAGAUACAUCUAUAAGCCGCAGAACAUCUGACCAAUAAUGAUCCGACUGAAAAGCCGAUCAACGAACCAAGUUACCCUAGGGAUAACAGCGCAAUCCUCUCCCAGAGUCCAUAUCGACGAGGGGGUUUACGACCUCGAUGUUGGAUCAGGACAUCCUAAUGGUGCAGCCGCUAUUAAGGGUUCGUUUGUUCAACGAUUAAAGUCCUACGUGAUCUGAGUUCAGACCGGAGUAAUCCAGGUCAGUUUCUAUCUGUAGCGCUACUUUUCCUAGUACGAAAGGAUCGGAAAAGAGGGGCCCAUGCUUAGAGCACGCCCCGCCCCUAAUUAAUGAAAGCAAAUAAAUUAAGUAAAGGGAGGGCCAAAACCCCUGCCGUCCAAAAUAAGGACAU
rnacentral:rRNA from 1 species